rnacentral:rRNA from 1 species
AUGGACACGGACAAAGCACUUCAUAGGUUGGACAGGAGAAAGCAGCGGAAGAUAAAGGACUGGGACAAGCAUCAUGCUUCGUAUGUUACCCGCUUCCAUCUUUGUGUGGAACAAGCUCGUAACAGUGCACACGCCCAGCUUCCUGAGCAUAGCUCACUUGCUUUCGAUAACUACCUACGAUGGCUUCUUGAAAAUACUCGAGUUGAGAUAUGCCCACUGGCAUACAAUGAGGCGUAA